AGUUGGCUGGUGGGGUGCGGGGCCGGGGCCGCCUCGGCCGGGGCCGGCUCGGCCGGGGCCGCCGCCGGUUCAGGGUCCGGUGCCCGCUCCC
rnacentral:tRNA from 1 species